rnacentral:lncRNA from 1 species
GAACGUACCAAACAUAUCGAGGUGGAUUGCCAUUUUGUUCGGGACUUGCUACUUUCUGGUUUCUCAAGUUGCUUCAUGCGCCUACUUCUCGUCAGCUGGCCGACUUGCUCAAUAAGCCCCUGCCUGGCACUUUACUUCUUCCGCUGCUCAUCAAGUUGCAGGUGGUUUUCCCCUCCAACUUGAGGGGGGGUGUUGAGAUGAGAGAAGCUACAUGAUUUAGCUUUGUAUA